CCCACGUGUCCCCCAAAAUUUUCCCCCUGGAGUCUUCCACCGCCAUUCUUUUCAUUCAUUUGUCUUGUCUCCUUUCUCUCUUUUACUCUGUUAUGCUUUUGGGCUGGAAAACGUAAAGACGAAACAGAGCAAGAGAUAGAAAGGAAAACAGAGACAGCUGGGGGGAAGAAGAAGAACGAAAAUGUGAGCAGCCAUCCACUUCUUCCUUUUUUUCUUGUUUUGUUCUGCUGCUUUCUUUUUCUUCCAUUCUUCUAUUUUGCUGUGGGAAGUCAAGGGAGAAAACAGAGAAAUAGAGGAUGAGAGCGGAGAGAGAUAGAACAGAGUGAGCUGAAGAAGAAACUUAAGAGGAGAGCAAGGCUAGGCUCGGGUUCUUGAAGCAACAGAGGAGAUCAAAAUCAUGCACCCGGGAGGUUUGACUCAUUAAAAUAGUUUUGGCGAGUUUCCGUCUCUUCAAGUGCCGCAUAUUGGGAGACGCCACACAGCUAGUUGAGGCCAAGCUACUACUGAGAUUUAGAAAGCAUUGGAGAUAGAGAAGUAGCCCUGGGCAAGAAGCUCCUGUGGGUCUUCUCUAAUGUGAAGGAGUUAACCCUAUCUUUCUCGAUUAUAGAGGCCAAGCUUCCUUUAGUACAUUUUCCUCUCUAGCUGUGAUUUUAUUUUGUUUGUAUCUCUGAGGCUCGCCUUUUUGCUGCAUCUUUAGGACCUUGCCACAAGGAAUGAGCUUCCUCUGUUCAGUUAUAUGAUCAACAUAACAUUGGAUUGGAUAAGUUCUAUGACAGUUUAGGGCCUUUGGGCAAUACUGAGAAGAUUUCUUUAUCUUCGAAGCCUCUACUUUAGAGUGGGAUUCGAGUACUAUCCGGAAAAUGGAGGGGAUGAGUUGCUACACCAAGUGCCUUCGUGUUUCCUCACCGAGCUCACAAAGAUUUCUGUCAAGUUUCGUGAUGGGAUAGAUGGUCAGGAAGAACUUUACAUGGUUGGGGUUUUCCUUGAAAAGGCUGUGGCUGUGAGAGAAAUGGUUAUCCGAUUUCCCGAGGACUAUGUGGACGAGGAGAAUCUGCUGGAGAGUUUAAAUAAGUUUCCCAAGUGGUCGAAUAGAUGUCGAAUCUGGUUGCAACCACAAUCUAGGGUUGAGAUUGGAAAUCUUGGAGGAUUAAUGUAGGCCAUAUUAUUUUUGGACUCAUGAAACGAAGGGGCAAGUCAACCUCUAUCGUUCUUUUUUUAGUUGCCGCUUUGUUUAGUUAUAUACUUUGCAAGUUUGAUGUGAUUUUUUCCUCAGAGACUCGACUGAGGAUAUAUGCAAUCUAGAAUCCUUUGUCA